rfam:Anolis carolinensis unplaced genomic scaffold chrTn0092, whole genome shotgun sequence.
UGCGAUUCAUUAGAAGUAACGAGUUGACAUAAGGUAAACCGGCAUUGAGGGGGCUUUCUUCGGGGGUCCGGCCGAAGCUCCAUUCACAAUGCCUAACCAGGCGUGCAAGGGCUCUGAUUGGGCAGCUUUCUUCCAACGGAGGAGGGGGGGGGGCUUUGGCAGGAUGUCCCCCUAAUGAGGGUCGCCAUCAGCCAUUGAUAAGAUAUUCUCCAUUCCCCCCUCCCCGCUUUACAAAAUGGAAAGAAAGAAAAGCCCCCCUUGCACCAGGAAUUGGGGAUCGG